rnacentral:rRNA from 1 species
UGCAAGUCGAACGAUGAUGCCCAGCUUGCUGGGCGGAUUAGUGGCGAACGGGUGAGUAAUACGUGAGUAACCUGCCCUUGACUCUGGGAUAAGCCUGGGAAACUGGGUCUAAUACUGGAUACUACCUCUUACCGCAUGGUGGGUGGUGGAAAGGGUUUUACUGGUUUUGGAUGGGCUCACGGCCUAUCAGCUUGUUGGUGGGGUAAUGGCUCACCAAGGCGACGACGGGUAGCCGGCCUGAGAGGGUGACCGGCCACACUGGGACUGAGACACGGCCCAGACUCCUACGGGAGGCAGCAGUGGGGAAUAUUGCACAAUGGGCGGAAGCCUGAUGCAGCGACGCCGCGUGAGGGAUGACGGCCUUCGGGUUGUAAACCUCUUUCAGUAGGGAAGAAGCGAGAGUGACGGUACCUGCAGAAGAAGCGCCGGCUAACUACGUGCCAGCAGCCGCGGUAAUACGUAGGGCGCAAGCGUUGUCCGGAAUUAUUGGGCGUAAAGAGCUCGUAGGCGGUUUGUCGCGUCUGCUGUGAAAGCCCGGGGCUCAACCCCGGGUCUGCAGUGGGUACGGGCAGACUAGAGUGCAGUAGGGGAGACUGGAAUUCCUGGUGUAGCGGUGAAAUGCGCAGAUAUCAGGAGGAACACCGAUGGCGAAGGCAGGUCUCUGGGCUGUUACUGACGCUGAGGAGCGAAAGCAUGGGGAGCGAACAGGAUUAGAUACCCUGGUAGUCCAUGCCGUAAACGUUGGGCACUAGGUGUGGGGGACAUUCCACGUUUUCCGCGCCGUAGCUAACGCAUUAAGUGCCCCGCCUGGGGAGUACGGCCGCAAGGCUAAAACUCAAAGGAAUUGACGGGGGCCCGCACAAGCGGCGGAGCAUGCGGAUUAAUUCGAUGCAACGCGAAGAACCUUACCAAGGCUUGACAUUCACCGGACCGCCCCAGAGAUGGGGUUUCCCUUCGGGGCUGGUGGACAGGUGGUGCAUGGUUGUCGUCAGCUCGUGUCGUGAGAUGUUGGGUUAAGUCCCGCAACGAGCGCAACCCUCGUUCUAUGUUGCCAGCACGUGAUGGUGGGGACUCAUAGGAGACUGCCGGGGUCAACUCGGAGGAAGGUGGGGAUGACGUCAAAUCAUCAUGCCCCUUAUGUCUUGGGCUUCACGCAUGCUACAAUGGCCGGUACAAAGGGUUGCGAUACUGUGAGGUGGAGCUAAUCCCAAAAAGCCGGUCUCAGUUCGGAUUGAGGUCUGCAACUCGACCUCAUGAAGUCGGAGUCGCUAG